rnacentral:lncRNA from 1 species
GUUAUUACAUCACUUGGCUGCUCCAACCAGGAAUCGAACUCCCCACACUUGGUUCCAGAGCCCCCCAAUGUGAUUGUUCUGCCAACUUGGAUGUGCCCUGGGGGGCCUAUCCUUAUUCAUUCUUUUUUUGCAUUUCAGUGGAAGAUUUAUCCUCUGAAAGUUAGUUUCUUUCUGUGCAUAAGCAUAUUGCGUUGUUCCUUUACAUAUUAGAUUCGAAGAUUUAGGGUUUUGAUGCUGUUGUUAUAAAUUUGUUCCCGACAAAUUUUUUUUAUUAUUUAUUUUUUUUUAUUUUUUUUUUGAAGAUUUAACCUUCUGCAGUUAUUUUCCUUCUGUGGAUAAACUGAAUUGAUUACUUCUUUUUCUUUUCCAGCUUCGGGUGAGGAUCUAGGUUUUUGAUCUUCUGGGGCCAGAUCUUUUUUUAUCCGACAUUUUGGUUAAAUAUUGUUCAAAAUUGAUGUUUUUCAGGUGAAUGUAUGUCGUUCUCUUUUUUCAGUUAUAGCGAUUGUUAUUUUGUUGGAAAAUUUAUUCUGGAAAUUUAAUCUUCUUGUCUUCGACAUUUGGGUUGAGGAUUGUUCAAGAUCCAUUUAUUUUCAGGUGAAAGCACGUCGUUCUCUUUUUUCAAUUGUUAUUUUGUCUUACUCACUUUACUCUCUUCGGAAUUUGUGGGGUCAAUAUUGUUCAAGAUCCAUGUUUUUUAGGUAUUAUUUUUCUCUCUUUUCAUAAGCUGAUAUCUAUUUUUUCUUUUUUAGGUUAAAAGCUAAUACUUAGGCUCUGAACGUUGUAGUCGUUGUUGUCUUUGGAAAGGUGAUUGAUUUAUUGUACAUGUUUUCCUCUUUUCUUUUCUCUGUCGAUGUUUCUUUUCUCCAUUAGCUUAGAAUUAAAGAAAUAAAAUUCGACAGAGAUUGGGGAUUUCUUCAAGGAUGGUUACCCCUCUCUGUUUACCCCCAAUAAUUUUUCCAUUUUUUCAAAACAAACAACCUUUUAACUUGGAAACCCAGAAGCAAAAGAACAAAUACAUGACACGUUUUUCGUUUAGUCGUCGUUCAAUAAUUGGAUGAUGACGGAUUUUUCUCCAGUUGGGAUUUUCUCACCAUUAGUAGAUCGGCAAACUUGAAGGUUUGAUGUUAUUGACUUAUAAUGUUCUAACAUCAUCAAUUAGGCUAGACGCUAUGUUUAAGAUAUGUUGGAGUUAUCCACAAACAUGAUGCGGUAUUCAAAGUGGUGUAGUAUUUUGGGAAGCAGGUUACUGAUUCCAUUGUUUUUUUUUUUUUUUUGGGGCACAAUUGAAGCAAUUCAUAUUACCCAGGAAACUCAAAACAAGUUCUUACAAUGCAAUAAGGCCGUACAUCUUGUGAGCCUUGCCUCGGGAUCUAGCAACCCAUACUUUGGGAAUUUUAGUUAGUUAAGGUCAUCUCUUUUUUGUAGUGGUAUACUAUGUUCACAUCACUAGUCGGUGUGAAGUCUCAGAUAAGAAAACGCCGUUGAAAUGGCUUCAAUGUUAUAUUGCUCGUGCUAUGUUUUAUAUUGCAUUAUCAUAUGUAUGUUUUUAUUUACAAUUUAGUUUGUUACACGGAGUCACCGUUGUUUCUAGUAUUAUUAUUAUUAUUAUUAUUUUUUUUUA